rnacentral:tRNA from 1 species
GGCGAGAUGGCCGAGCGGUCCAAGGCGGUUAGUAUCACUAUCAAUAAAAUAUCUCAAUGAACGUUCACUAAUAAUCUCUCAGCUGGAGUAAGGUUCCAGUCUCGAAAGGGGCGUGGGUUCAAAUCCCACUCUCGUCA